CAUGCAGUCGAACGGCAGCGCGGGGGCAACCCUGGCGGCGAGUGGCGAACGGGUGAGUAAUAUAUCGGAACGUACCCAAGAGUGGGGGAUAACGUAGCGAAAGUUACGCUAAUACCGCAUACGAUCUAUGGAUGAAAGCAGGGGACCGCAAGGCCUUGUGCUCGUGGAGCGGCCGAUAUCUGAUUAGCUAGUUGGUAGGGUAAAGGCCUACCAAGGCAUCGAUCAGUAGCUGGUCUGAGAGGACGACCAGCCACACUGGGACUGAGACACGGCCCAGACUCCUACGGGAGGCAGCAGUGGGGAAUUUUGGACAAUGGGCGCAAGCCUGAUCCAGCAAUGCCGCGUGAGUGAAGAAGGCCUUCGGGUUGUAAAGCUCUUUUGUCAGGGAAGAAACGGGUGGGGCUAAUAUCCCCAUCUAAUGACGGUACCUGAAGAAUAAGCACCGGCUAACUACGUGCCAGCAGCCGCGGUAAUACGUAGGGUGCAAGCGUUAAUCGGAAUUACUGGGCGUAAAGCGUGCGCAGGCGGUUUUGUAAGUCUGUCGUGAAAUCCCCGGGCUCAACCUGGGAAUGGCGAUGGAGACUGCAAGGCUAGAGUUUGGCAGAGAGGGGUAGAAUUCCACGUGUAGCAGUGAAAUGCGUAGAGAUGUGGAGGAACACCGAUGGCGAAGGCAGCCCCCUGGGUCAAGACUGACGCUCAUGCAC
rnacentral:rRNA from 1 species